CUGAUUAAAAGCAGCAGGCUAGAUAGAAACAUUCCAAGUAUUACUCAAGAAACAAUUAUUACACUGUAGACUGCUUGAUAACUUGAGAUAUGAGAGGACACGCAUCCAAUAUGUAUUACCUUGAACCCUGGGUAUGCUGUGUUUUUUGGCUCCUGAUCCAUGGGUUUCGCAGACGUUGCCAGAAAAAAGAAGUUCCAGCUGAAAUGUAUUGUCUCGUCAAUAUGUAUUCGGAAGAAAGGUCUCUGGGAAGAUACCUCCCAGUGGAAGUAUCAGUGUCCUUUUUGACACACAGUUUUUGACUCCCUUUCUCUCAGGGUCUGGCCUGGAAAUAAGUUGCUAUCCCAAAAUAAAGGGCUGUAAUGAGGGGGCUGGUCACGGAUCCUCUGAAAAUGAAAUAUUCUCCCAAAGGCUGUUCUGGUUGACUUGUGCUAGCAUAUGAUGGUCCUUGCUACAUAUAGGAAAUUGGCAGAUACUUUUGCUGGGUCAAUGAUGAGUACUUUAUAUUGCCUUAUGGGUUAGUGAUGACUUGAAUAUCACAUACAAGGCACGACACUGAGGCCCAGCCUAGAAGACCGCUGUGGAAACCAACAUGGUUAAAUUGAUGACUGUCCCUUCAGGAUCAUUGAGUUUGGUGCCGGAGAACUUGAAGUAUGGGAGGAAAUCUUGUGGAGCAUGUGGAUAUGCUCCUCUAUAAAAAUUCCACAUGUUAUCCUGAUACUUUAAACCUCAUCACAGGUCCUGGGCAUUUUAGCUCCCUUGCUGAACACCACAUCUCACUUUGUGUCUUUCAGUGGAAAAUUCUACUCAGAAUGCCUGCAAGGCAUGCACCGACAUAGAGGAGAGCAUGACUCAAUUUGUUCUCUUGACCAAUAUUUUACAAGUUACUGAGGGUCAUCAAUCAAGGGGGUGUUCUUGGUCUUGGAAGCAAGCUGGACCUGCACCAAUUUGUGCAGUUUUUCCUCAAGGCCUGGAUGAAACUGAACCAAAAGAUGACUUGUGAUGUUCCUGGCAUGCUGUUCUAGGAAACUCAUGCUUCUUUUCCAUAAGGAGGGUGAAUAAACUUUCGUCCUGCUCCAAGGAAAAGAGAUAACCAGGCUUGUUUAAUAGUAGUCAUUGUAUCUGUGGCUCACAUUGUGAAUGAACAUGUCCUCAGAUGGGUUCCUUAUGGUAACUUAGAGAGUUGGGAAUGGCGGCACAGACCAAAGAGAAUACAUUGGUCUUCUAGUGUGAGGGAGCACACAAGUCAAUAAUGACUGUCUACCAUUUUUCAAACCACCAUAUUCUUCAGAACUUAAGAUAUGAGAACACAUACAGGCGAAACUGCUGGCAAAAUGCCCAUUAUCAAGCUGUGCUACAAAAAUUCUACUUUAAGAAUGAGGAACUCUUUCCCACCAGAGAUACAAGUUGUAUCAAAAGUUCCUGUCUGGACAUGACUCCAGUCAUGGAGGAACUUCUGUCUCAGGCUACCAGAUGGAUUCCACAUGAGCAGGUAUCGCUUCCUCAGAGAAGUCCUUCAGAAUAAAUGUCAAUCUCUGGAUGAAGGACAUCCCCCGGGUGCCUGGCCUCAUUUCCUCACAAAGUCAAAUAGUCUCUCAUAAUAUGGUCGCAUUUGGUUACUUGUGGUGAGACUAUGGGCCUCUUUCAAAAGUAGACAGCAAAGGAGGAUGCCUAGCUAGAAACUGGCUUGGAAAUAAGCAGCUAUCCCAAAAAGAAAGUGCUGUAACGACAUGGAUGGCCACAGAUCAUCUGGAAAUGAAAUAUUCUCCCAAACGCUGUUCCUGGUUGACUUGUGGGGAUAAAUCUGCUCAGAAUGACUGCAUGGCAUGAACCAUUGUAAAGGAGUGCAUGACCUCGUUUGAUUGUCAUGACCAAUGGUUUACCAAUCACCAAGAGUCAUCUCUCAAGGAGAUGUUCUUUGGCUGGGAAGCAAGCUGCACCUUCAGCAAUGCAUGCAAUUUUUCUCUCACCACAUGCUUGAAAAAGGAAAAAAAGCUGUCUUGAGAUUAUCUUGGAUGGUGUUCUAGGAGCCCCAUGUUUCAUUUUCAAAUGGAUUGUGAAUACACUUUUUUUCUGCUCUA